rnacentral:rRNA from 1 species
GGAUUAGAUACCCUGGUAGUCCACGCCGUAAACGAUGCGCACUAGGUCGGGGAGGUUUUGACGCCAUCCCGGCCGAAGCUAAUGUGUUAAGUGCGCCGCCUGGGGAGUACGGUCGCAAGGCUAAAACUCAAAGGAAUUGACGGGGACUCACACAAGCGGUGGAGCAUGUGGCUUAAUUCGAAACAACGCGAAGAACCUUAUCCUGGGUUUGACAUGCACGGAUUAGCUUCCUGAAAGGGAAGUGACAGGCUUGCCUGGAACGUGCACAGGUGCUGCAUGGCUGUCGUCAGCUCGUGCUG